GAUGAACGCUGGCGGCGUGCCUAAUACAUGCAAGUCGAGCGAACAGACGAGGAGCUUGCUCCUCUGACGUUAGCGGCGGACGGGUGAGUAACACGUGGAUAACCUACCUAUAAGACUGGGAUAACUUCGGGAAACCGGAGCUAAUACCGGAUAAUAUAUUCAACCGCAUGGUUCAAUAGUGAAAGACGGUUUUGCUGUCACUUAUAGAUGGAUCCGCGCCGCAUUAGCUAGUUGGUAAGGUAACGGCUUACCAAGGCAACGAUGCGUAGCCGCCCUGAGAGGGUGAUCGGCCACACUGGAACUGAGACACGGUCCAGACUCCUACGGGAGGCAGCAGUAGGGAAUCUUCAGCAAUGGGCGAAAGCCUGACGGAGCAACACCGCGUGAGUGAUGAAGGUCUUCGGAUCGUAAAACUCUGUUAUUAGGGAAGAACAAAUGUGUAAGUAACUAUGCACGUCUUGACGGUACCUAAUCAGAAAGCCACGGCUAACUACGUG
rnacentral:rRNA from 1 species